rnacentral:ncRNA from 2 species
GGGAAGUCCGGUGAGAGUCCGGCGCUGACCCGCAACGGUGUGCGCGGCGGUCCUGUGGUCCGUCGUGCGAGCCCGAUCGCC